UACGGGGGGGGCAAGCGUUGUUCGGAAUUACUGGGCGUAAAGGGCUUGUAGGUGGCCAACUAAGUCAGAUGUGAAAUUCCUGGGCUCAACCUGGGGGCUGCAUUUGAUACGUUCGGACUAGAGUGGGGAAGAGGGUCGUGGAAUUCCCAGUGUAGAGGUGAAAUUCGUAGAUAUUGGGAAGAACACCGGUGGCGAAGGCGGCGACCUGGUCCUUGACUGACGCUGAGGCGCGAAAGCGUGGGGAGCAAACAGG
rnacentral:rRNA from 1 species